AUUGAACGCUGGCGGCAUGCCUUACACAUGCAAGUCGAACGGUAACAGGUCUUCGGAUGCUGACGAGUGGCGAACGGGUGAGUAAUGCAUCGGAACGUGCCCAGUAGUGGGGGAUAGCCCGGCGAAAGCCGGAUUAAUACCGCAUACGACCUGAGGGUGAAAGGGGGGGAUCGCAAGACAUCUCGCUAUUGGAGCGGCCGAUGUCAGCUUAGCUAGUUGGAGGGGGAAAGGCCUAACAAGGCAACGAUCUGUAGUUGGUCUGAGAGGACGACCAGCCACCAUGGGAGUGAGACACGGCCCAGACGCAUACGGGAGGCAGCAGUGGGGAAUUUUGGACAAUGGGCGGAAGACUGUGCAAGCAAUGCCGCGUGCAGGAAGAAGGCCUUCGGGUUGUAAACUGCUUUUGUCAGGGAAGAAAUCUUCUGGGUUAAUACCUCGGGAGGAUGACGGUACCUGAAGAAUAAGCGCCGGCUAACUACGUGCCAGCCGCCGCCGUAACAC
rnacentral:rRNA from 1 species